AGAAUUCUAAAAUAAAAGGAAGCAAUGUUUUAAUGUUGGUUUUUUCAUGGAGAACAACAGUAUUUGUGCUCAGUGAACAAAACUGUCUCUGGUGAAUUUGCCCCUGCUUGACAGGAAUGCAAACCUUGGUAUGUCACCAAUUAGAAAAGAACAAGAUCAUACCUGUUCAGUUCUUGCAAUAAAAAGAAGUGUGGAUGUUUUCCACUCUUCCAGUCAUGACAUGAUCUGUCUGCAGAGCUGCACCCAGGACUGCUGCUGCUUUCUCUUUGCUCCUCUUUCUCUUCUUCAGUCUCCUGGAGCAGCGAGGAUUGUUGGACUCACAGCAACAGAGCAGACGCGAGAAGAUGAUCUGCAGGAUCCUGCUGCUCAUCAUCCUCAACUCAUGUCUCUGUGCAGCAACAUUUGUAGUGAAUGUGACACAGUGCUCCUAUAAGGUAGAGGAGAACCACAACAUCACUCUGGAGUGGACCUUCACCACCAGACCUGAUCGACCCUGGAGGGAGUACCAAAUCUACUGCAGAAUUGUAAUUCCUAGGAAAAUAUUAAUCUGGUAUAAGCUCCUAGAUGGUGUUGAGGUGGAAGAGCCUCAUGAUGAAGAGUUUUCAGGACGAGUCCAGCUUGACAAAGACGUCCUCAGAGAAGGAGAAGUCAGACUCCAUGUGUCCAGACUGAGGACUGAAGACUCUGGAGAGUAUGUGUGUAAUGUGUCGGUUGAUGAUGGUUCUGGUUAUGUUACGGGUUAUGCACCCUGUCAAGUCAACGUCUCUGGAGCAAACUCAAUUACAAGCAGACCUGGAAACACGAUCAGAACCAUUGGAGGACUGCUGCUGUUUCUAUCUGUGAAGCUUUUUCUGCUUUAAUAUUUGCUUCAUGCAGAGUUUUCAUUGCAGUCGCUGAUUCCAGCAAAUCAUUGAAUGUUUUCCUGAACUCCUGAAGCUGACUUCAGCAGCAGCUUUUCCACUUUCUGAUGAGGAUCAUCAUCUGCUGUCAGAUGGUUGUUAGUCACACUGGUUUCAAUCUGCUGAUCAGUCAGUGUGCCCUUGAGCAAAGCUCUUAACCCCCAGUUGCUCACCGGUAGUUUAACAGGAAGUGUUUCUGUUCUGUCUUGUUAAGGUUCUGCAGUGUUCUUCUUAUUUCUGUGAAAAUAUAAAAACAUAUUUUUUCAAACCUUUUGCACAAACAAAUAAAAACUUAACAAUCACAUGAAAA